GCGUCGGUGGUAUAGUGGUUAAAACGCUGGCUGACCAUGCACAUGGUCCGGGGUUCGAUUCCCGGCCGACGCA
rnacentral:tRNA from 1 species